CAUAGCGACUAUCGUGGCAUAUCAAUAAGCGGAGGAAAAGAAACUAACAAGGAUUCCCUUAGUAACGGCGAGUGAAGCGGGAAGAGCUCAAAUUUGAAAUCUUCAAGGUUUUACCUUGACGAAUUGUAGUUUAAAGAAGUGUUUUCUGUUGGAGUUUUGGUAAAAGUUCUUUGGAAUAGGACAUCAUAGAGGGUGAGAAUCCCGUAUUUGGUCAUUCUUUCUAGCUUUGUGAUACACUUUCAACGAGUCGGAUUGUUUGGGAAUGCAGUCCAAAAUGGGUGGUAAAUUUCAUCUAAAGCUAAAUAUUGGCGAGAGACCGAUAGCGAACAAGUACCGUGAGGGAAAGAUGAAAAGAACUUUGAAAAGAGAGUUAAACAGUACGUGAAAUUGUCAAAAGGGAAGCGUUUGACACCAGUGUUGUUUUUCCGAAAAUCAAUUACGAAUGUUUUGUUUUUGAGGAAGUUAUGACUUCAUCGGCUUGCUUCCUUCUCUUACUGAAACUUUCUUAAUGCACUUUUCGGUUAACAAGUCAACAUCAAUUUCUUUUGUUGUAAAAGGGUAUGAGGAAGGUGGCUUUCUUUUCGGAGAAAGUGUUUAUAGCCUUGUGCCUCUGCAAUCGGAGAGAUUGAGGUCUGCAGCGUAGAUCCUUCGGGGUUAGAUACAUUUGUGCUAAGUUAUAGCUUUUCAUAGACAACUUGUUGACUAUGUUUAGUCUUGUAGCUUACUCGCUUAUGCUAUUUUACCUACGCUUAGGAUGUUGACGAGACUGUCGAUCUC
rnacentral:rRNA from 1 species